GACCUGUUGGCACAGUUGGUAAUGCGCCCGCUGGAAUUUUCCCAGGGAAAAAUGAGCUUCUGCGGGAGUCCCCAGUUCAGUUGGGACAGGUCG